rnacentral:rRNA from 1 species
GACGAACGCCGGCGGCGUGCCUAAUACAUGCAAGUAGAACGCACAGUUUAUACCGUAGCUUGCUACACCAUAGACCGUGAGUUGCGAACGGGUGAGUAACGCGUAGGUAACCUGCCUGGUAGCGGGGGAUAACUAUUGGAAACGAUAGCUAAUACCGCAUAAUAUUAAUUAUUGCAUGAUAAUUAAUUGAAAGGUGCAAUUGCACCACUACCAGAUGGACCUGCGUUGUAUUAGCUAGUAGGUGAGGUAACGGCUCACCUAGGCGACGAUACAUAGCCGACCUGGGAGGGUGAUCGGCCACACUGGGACUGGGACACGGCCCAGACUCCUACGGGAGGCAGCAGUAGGGAAUCUUCGGCAAUGGACGAAAGUCUGACCGAGCAACGCCGCGUGAGUGAAGAAGGUUUUCGGAUCGUAAAGCUCUGUUGUAAGAGAAGAACGGGUGUGAGAGUGGAAAGUUCACACUGUGACGGUAUCUUACCAGAAAGGGACGGCUAACUACGUG